rnacentral:rRNA from 1 species
UACGUAAGGGGCAAGCGUUAUCCGGAUUUACUGGGUGUAAAGGGAGCGUAGACGGCAUGGUAAGUCUGAUGUGAAAUCCCAGGGCUCAACCCUGGGCAUGCAUUGGAAACUAUCAAGCUAGAGUGCAGGAGAGGUAAGUGGAAUUCCUAGUGUAGCGGUGAAAUGCGUAGAUAUUAGGAGGAACACCAGUGGCGAAGGCGGCUUACUGGACUGUAACUGACGUUGAGGCUCGAAAGCGUGGGGAGCAAAC